UACGUAGGGUGCAAGCGUUGUCCGGAAUUAUUGGGCGUAAAGAGCUCGUAGGCGGUCUGUUACGUCGGCUGUGAAAACCUGGGGCUCAACCCCGGGCCUGCAGCCGAUACGGGCAGACUAGAAUUCGGGUAGGGGAGACUGGGAAUUCCUGGGUGUAGCGGUGAAAUGCGCAGAUAUCAGGAGGAACACCGGUGGCGAAGGCGGGUCUCUGGGCCGAUACUGACGCUGAGGAGCGAAAAGCGUGGGGGAGCGAAACAGGG
rnacentral:rRNA from 1 species